rnacentral:rRNA from 1 species
CGCGGUGCGGGAGGACGGUCUAUUGGGAUUGUAAACCGCUUUUCUCUGGGAAGAUGAUGACGGUACCAGAGGAAUCAGCAUCGGCUAACUCCGUGCCAGCAGCCGCGGUAAGACGGAGGAUGCAAGCGUUAUCCGGAAUGAUUGGGCGUAAAGCGUCCGCAGGUGGCUAGUCAAGUCCGCUGUCAAAGCGUGAGGCUUAACCUCAUACAGGCAGUGGAAACUGGCUGGCUAGAGGGUGGUAGGGGUAGAGGGAAUUCCCAGUGUAGCGGUGAAAUGCGUAGAUAUUGGGAAGAACACCAGUGGCGAAAGCGCUCUACUGGGCCACACCUGACACUGAGGGACGAAAGCUAGGGGAGCGAAAGGGAUUAGAUACCCCUGUAGUCA